UACUUAUCAAGAAAGGUGGAGGGAAAAGGCCCUUUGAAACCUUAGCAACCCCAAAUUAGGAAGGUGCUAAAUCCAGAUGUAAAAAUCAAGAUAAGAG
rnacentral:ncRNA from 10 species